GACUGUUUAUUAAAAACACAGGACUUUGCUAAGUGGUAACACGAUGUAUAGAGUGCGACACUUGCCCAGUGUUGGAAGGUCAGAAGAAAAAGUGUCAUAAGCUUUGAAUGGAAGCCCCGGUAAAUGGCGACAGUAACUCUAACUGUCCUAAGGUAUCGAAAUUCCUUGUCGCAUAAUUAGCGACCCGCACGAGUGUUUC
rnacentral:ncRNA from 1 species